AUGAACGCUGGCGGCGUGCCUAAUACCUGCAAGUCGAGCGAACAGACGAGGGGCUUGCUCCUCUGACGUUAGCGGCGGACGGGUGAGUAACACGUGGAUAACCUACCUAUAAGACUGGGAUAACUUCGGGAAACCGGAGCUAAUACCGGAUAAUAUAUUGAACCGCAUGGUUCAAUAGUGAAAGACGGUUUUGCUGUCACUUAUAGAUGGAUCCGCGCCGCAUUAGCUAGUUGGUAAGGUAACGGCUUACCAAGGCAACGAUGCGUAGCCGACCUGAGAGGGUGAUCGGCCACACUGGAACUGAGACACGGUCCAGACUCCUACGGGAGGCAGCAGUAGGGAAUCUUCCGCAAUGGGCGAAAGCCUGACGGAGCAACGCCGCGUGAGUGAUGAAGGUCUUCGGAUCGUAAAACUCUGUUAUUAGGGAAGAACAAAUGUGUAAGUAACUAUGCACGUCUUGACGGUACCUAAUCAGAAAGCCACGGCUAACUACGUG
rnacentral:rRNA from 1 species